CCUACGGGAGGCAGCAGUGGGGAAUAUUGGGCAAUGGGCGCAAGCCUGACCCAGCAACGCCGCGUGAAGGAAGAAGGCUUUCGGGUUGUAAACUUCUUUUCUGAGGGACGAAGAAAGUGACGGUACCUCAGGAAUAAGCCACGGCGAACUACGUGCCAGCAGGCGCGGUAAUACGUCGGUCGCAAUCGUUAUUCGGAUUUAGUGGGUGUAAAGGGCGUGUAGGCGGGAAGGCAAGUCAGAUGGGAAAACUCAGGGCUCAACCCUGAGCCUGCAUUUGAAACUGUUUUUCUUGAGUGCUGGAGAGGCAAUCGGAAUGCGGGGUGUAGCGGUGAAAUGCGUAGAUAUAGGGAGGAACACCAGUGGCGAAGGCGGAUUGCUGGACAGUAACUGACGCUGAGGCGCGAAAGCGUGGGGAGCAAACAGGAUUAGAUACCCGAGUAGUC
rnacentral:rRNA from 1 species